GACGAACGCUGGCGGCGUGCUCAACACAUGCAAGUCGAACGGUAAGGCCCUUCGGGGUACGCGAGUGGCGAACGGGUGAGUAACACGUGGGUGAUCUGCCCUGCACUUCGGGAUAAGCCUGGGAAACUGGGUCGAAUACCGGAUAGGACCAUUGCCUGCAUGGGUGGUGGUGGAAAGCUUUUGCGGUGUGGGAUGGGCCCGCGGCCUAUCAGCUUGUUGGUGGGGUGAUGGCCUACCAAGGCGACGACGGGUAGCCGGCCUGAGAGGGUGACCGGCCACACUGGGACUGAGAUACGGCCCAGACUCCUACGGGAGGCAGCAGUGGGGAAUAUUGCACAAUGGGCGCAAGCCUGAUGCAGCGACGCCGCGUGAGGGAUGACGGCCUUCGGGUUGUAAACCUCUUUCAGCACCGACGAAGCGCAAGUGACGGUAGGUGCAGAAGAAGGACCGGCCAACUACGUGCCAGCAGCCGCGGUAA
rnacentral:rRNA from 1 species